rnacentral:rRNA from 1 species
GGUUGAUCCUGCCAGUAGUCAUAUGCUUGUCUCAAAGAUUAAGCCAUGCAUGUCUAAGUAUAAGCAAAUUAUACAGUGAAACUGCGAAUGGCUCAUUAAAUCAGUUAUCGUUUAUUUGAUAGUUCCUUUACUACAUGGAUAACCGUGGUAAUUCUCCUGCUAAUACAUGCUUAUAGUCCCGACUUCUGGAAGGGAUGUAUUUAUUAGAUAAAAAAUCAAUGUCUUCGGACUUUUUGAUGAUUCAUAAUAACUUUUCGAAGCUCAUGGCCUUGUGCUGGAGCUGGUUCAUUCAA